rnacentral:rRNA from 1 species
GUGUCAGCCGCCGCGGUAAUACCAGCUCUCCGAGUGGUAGGGAUGAUUAUUGGGCUUAAAGCGUGCGUAGCCGGCUUGACAAGUCUUCUGUUAAAUCCAGCAACCCAAUUGUUGGACUGCGGGAGAUACUGUCUAGCUAGAGAACGGGAGAAGCCGACGGUACUCUCAGGGUAGGAGUGAAAUCCUAUAAUCCUGGGAGGACCACCAGUGGCGUAGGCUGUCGGCUAGAACGUGUCUGACUGUGAGGAACGAAAGCUUGGGGAGCGAACCGGAUUAGAUACCCGGGUAGUCCAAGCUGUAAACGAUGCGGGCUAGGUGUUGGGGUGGCUACGUGCCACUUCAGUGCCGCAGGGAGACCGUUAAGCCCGCCGCCUGGGGAGUACGGUCGCAAGGCUGAAACUUAAAGGAAUUGACGGGG